ACGAAACUAUGGCAGUCUAAGUUGUCAGCUUCCAAGUAGGAGCCAUGAGUGGACCUGUCUUGGAUCUUCACUGUGAGAACCUGGUGAGAUUCCUGGAAGUCAAGACCAUGAGAGUGUGCAUUCCCCCUAAGACUUGGCACCAAGGAACUUUUUGCACAUUCAGCCCUCAGUAGUGAAACUACCAUUAAGUGUUCCUACUAGUUUAUGGCUCCAGCAUCUUUUCCCUUAGAAUCGAAAGAAUACCACCCAAACGGAGAAGAAGUAAUAUUAAUUAUUGUUGUGGAAGGAGAAAUUAUUUUCUUGGGCAAAGAUUCCACUUUAUUCUGGAGCGUGCCCUUUUCAGGAAUGGACCUGAAUGCUAUGGCUUCAACUGUGCCCCUCAAAAAGGUAUGCUGAAGCCCUGACAUUCAGCAUGUCAAAAUGUGACCUUACUUGGAAAUGAGAUG
rnacentral:lncRNA from 1 species